CCUACGGGGAGCAGCAGUAGGGAAUCUUCCACAAUGGGCGCAAGCCUGAUGGAGCAACACCGCGUGAGUGAAGAAGGGUUUCGGCUCGUAAAGCUCUGUUGUUGGAGAAGAAAGUGCGUGAGAGUAACUGUUCACGCAGUGACGGUAUCCAACCAGAAAGUGACGGCUAACUACGUGCCAGCAGCCGCGGUAAUACGUAGGUGGCAAGCGUUAGCCGGAUUUAUUGGGAGUAAAGCGAGCACAGGCGGGCGCUUAGGUCUGAUGUGAAAGCCUUCGGCUUAACCGAAGAAGUGCAUCGGAAACCGGGGGAGUUGAGUGCAGAAGAGGACAGUGGAACUCCAUGUGUAGCGGUGGAAUGCGUAGAUAUAUGGAAGAACACCAGUGGCGAAGGCAGCUGUCUGGGCUGCAACUGACGCUGAGGCUCGAAAGCAUGGGUAGCGAACAGGAUUAGAUACCCGGGUAGUC
rnacentral:rRNA from 1 species